rnacentral:rRNA from 1 species
UGGGGAAUUUUGGACAAUGGGCGAAAGCCUGAUCCAGCAAUGCCGCGUGUGUGAAGAAGGCCUUCGGGUUGUAAAGCACUUUUGUCCGGAAAGAAAUCCUUGGCUCUAAUACAGUCGGGGGAUGACGGUACCGGAAGAAUAAGCACCGGCUAACUACGUGCCAGCAGCCGCGGUAAUACGUAGGGUGCAAGCGUUAAUCGGAAUUACUGGGCGUAAAGCGUGCGCAGGCGGUUUGCUAAGACCGAUGUGAAAUCCCCGGGCUCAACCUGGGAACUGCAUUGGUGACUGGCAGGCUAGAGUAUGGCAGAGGGGGUAGAAUUCCACGUGUAGCAGUGAAAUGCGUAGAGAUGUGGAGGAAUACCGAUGGCGAAGGCAGCCCCCUGGGCCAAUACUGACGCUCAUGCACGAAAGCGUGGGGAGCAAAACAGGAUUAGAUACCCUGGUAGUCCACGCCCUAAACGAUGCCAACUAGUUGUUGGGGAUUCAUUUCCUUAGUAACGUAGCUAACGCGUGAAGUUGACCGCCUGGGGAGUACGGUCGCAAGAUUAAAACUCAAAGGAAUUGACGGGGUCAUAGCUGUUUCCU